rnacentral:rRNA from 1 species
CUACGGGUUGCACCAGUGAGGAAUUUUGCGCAAUGGGGGGAACCCUGACGCAGCAACGCCGCGUGAGUGAUGAAGGCUUUCGGGUCGUAAAGCUCUGUCAAGUGGGAAGAACCUAUGCAGUGUUAAUAUCACUGUAUACUGACGGUACCACUGAAGGAAGCACCGGCUAGCUCCGUGCCAGCAGCCGCGGUAAUACGGGGGGUGCAAGCGUUAUUCGGAAUCAUUGGGCGUAAAGGGCACGUAGGCGGCUUGGUAAGUCAGAUGUGAAAGCCCGGGGCUUAACCCCGGAAGUGCAUUUGAUACUGUCAGGCUUGAGUAUGGGAGAGGGAAGUGGAAUUCAUGGUGUAGAGGUGAAAUUCGUAGAUAUCAGGAGGAACACCGGUGGCGAAGGCGACUUCCUGGACCAAUACUGACGCUGAGGUGCGAAGGCGUGGGUAGCAAACAGGAUUAGAUACCCCCGUAGUC